rnacentral:rRNA from 1 species
GACGAACGCUGGCGGCGUGCUUAACACAUGCCAGUCGAACUGAAAGGCCCUGCUUGCAGGGUACUCGAGUGGCGAACGGGUGAGUAACACGUGGGUGAUCUGCCCUGCACUUCGGGAUAAGCCUGGGAAACUGGGUCUAAUACCGGAUAGGAGCCAUUUUUAGUGUGAUGGUUGGAAAGUUUUUUCGGUGUAGGAUGAGCUCGCGGCCUAUCAGCUUGUUGGUGGGGUAAUGGCCUACCAAGGCGGCGACGGGUAGCCGGCCUGAGAGGGUGGACGGCCACAUUGGGACUGAGAUACGGCCCAGACUCCUACGGGAGGCAGCAGUGGGGAAGAUUGCACAAUGGGCGCAAGCCUGAUGCAGCGACGCCGCGUGGGGGAUGACGGCCUUCGGGUUGUAAACUCCUUUCGCUAGGGACGAAGCUUUUUGUGACGGUACCUAGAUAAGAAGCACCGGCUAACUACGUG